rnacentral:rRNA from 1 species
CGUCUAUAUACGUAUAGCAUAUCAAUAAGCGGAGGAAAAGAAACUAACUAGGAUUCCCUCAGUAACGGCGAGUGAAGCGGGAAGAGCUCAAAUUUGAAAUCUUCAAGGUUCUACCUUGACGAAUUGUAGUUUAAAGAAGUGUUUUCUGUUGGAGUUUUGGUAAAAGUUCUUUGGAAUAGGACAUCAUAGAGGGUGAGAAUCCCGUAUUUGACCAUUAUUUCCAGCUUUGUGAUACACUUUCAAAGAGUCGGAUUGUUUGGGAAUGCAGUCCAAAAUGGGUGGUAAAUUUCAUCUAAAGCUAAAUACUGGCGAGAGACCGAUAGCGAACAAGUACCGUGAGGGAAAGAUGAAAAGAACUUUGAAAAGAGAGUUAAACAGUACGUGAAAUUGUCAAAAGGGAAGCGUUUGACACCAGUGUUGUUUUCUCGAAAAUCAAUUAAAAAUGGUGGGAUGUUGUGUUGUAUUGACUUUAUCAGCUUUCUGCACUUUUUUCCUGUCUUUUUUAAUGCACUUUUCGUUUAACAAGUCAACAUCAAUUUCUUUUGUUGUAAAAGAGUCAUUGGAAGGUGGCUUUCAUUUCGGAUGAAAGUGUUUAUAGCCUUUGACUUCUGCAGUCGGAGAGAUUGAGGUCUGCAGCGUAGAUCCUUCGGGGUUAGAUGCAUUUGUGCUAAGUUAUAGCCUUUCAUAGACAACUUGUUGACUAUGAUCAGUCAUGUAGCUUACUCGCUUAUGCUAUUUUACCUACGCUUAGGAUGUUGAUCUGUAGUGCGUGCGC